UACGAACUGUGCAAACGUUAUUCGGAAUCACUGGGCUUAAAGGGUGCGUAGGCGGCCAUUUAAGUAGGGUGUGAAAGCCCCCGGCUCAACCGGGGAAUUGCGUCCUAAACUGGGUGGCUCGAGUGAGAUAGAGGUGUGUGGAACUUCCAGUGGAGCGGUGAAAUGUGUUGAUAUUGGAAGGAACGCCGGUGGCGAAAGCGACACACUGGGUCUCAACUGACGCUGAGGCACGAAAGCCAGGGGAGCGAACGGG
rnacentral:rRNA from 1 species